rnacentral:lncRNA from 1 species
ACAUUGCACUUCAGAUGGAAAAAAUGCUCUUUCCUCUGAAGAGCCCUAGUGCCACGUGGCUGGGCCCCAGCUCCACUCCCUGGAUUGUGGAUUUCAUCCUCACCUCAGUGUGGAGCCUGGGCUUCCUCUUCCUAUUAGCCCCCUACCUCCCCAGUGUCCCACCCUCACCCCCGCAUGGGAGGAAGAGGAGCAGCAGGAAGCAUCAAAGGAAGAGAUAGGGGAGGCCCAGGAGCAGGAAGAAGAUCCCAGCUCUGAAUUCUUGCAGAAUCCUCCUGAGGGAGCUGGAGGAGACUCAGGACCUGACCAACCUUCUGGAAAGCCACCUGAGAAAGCUCACUGGGGAGGGUGGCUCCCAUCUGCCCUUAGGUGGAGAGCCCUGGGUGAUAUGUACAAACCAGCUCCUGCUAAGGCCCACCAGCCGCAUAGGAAAUGCAUGCAAGAUCCAUCUCCUGACAGCUUGUCCCCAAGGACUCCCCCAGUUCCUCUGGCCUCCAACCUGUCACCAGACACAAUGACCUUCUCAGAGCCUUUUGGACCACGCUCAACCCUGAGUGCCUCCAGGCCUCCAGAGCCCUUGCUUCCCCUAAAAUGCCCUGCAGUCCGGCCACAUAUGCUUUUCCUUCUUCACCACAGCCCCAUGUUCCCGUGGCCUCCUCUCCACCUCCACCCGAACACAGCCUGGCUGGACUUCAGUGUGGCUCCACAAUACGCCCUGUCCCCCAGAGCUCCCCUCUACACAACCAGGGGCCACCUUCUCCAACCAGGGUGAUCUCUGGCCUUGGGUGCUCCAGCGGUCCCAUCCGGGACCUCUCCCGCUGGAGGGAGGCUGCCACCACCUGGGGCCUCUCCACCUGCUCACAGGGCAAAUCCCAGCAACAGCAUCUUCCCAACCACCCCCCAGAGGCUUCCUUCUGGGGAGACCCCACACCCAGGCAGAUGGAGGCAGGUGGCCGCACAUUCUUCCAUCCCAACGUGCAGAAGCUGCUGGAGACUCAUCUCCAAGAGAGCAGUGAUGAAGAUGUGGCAGGAGAAAGAAUGGGGGUGGGCAGACUACCCGCAGAUGACAUCACUGGGGAAGGAGUGGGACAUCACGACUCUAAAUCCCUUCUGGAACGUGGCAAACCUACCACAGAAGCUGCCCCAUCCUCAGCAGGUCUCUGACGCCAUGGCCAUGUGGGACCACUUAGAGCAGAAAUGCAGCCAUCUCUUCUGGGAUCUCCCCUCUUUCAAUAGCGAGUCCCUGGUGACCAUGGCCUGGGUUUCUAGGAACAUUUCCUCACAGAAUGAGCACUCUGUACCAUCGGAUAAAGCCUCCACUUCCCUUCCAGGUGAAACUGAGGUUGAGACACCCUCACAGCUUUCCCAGGCACGGCCCCAGCCCCACCACGUGGCCCAGCCCCAACCUUUCACUCCAACCUGGCCCCAGUCCCAGCCCCCGCCUCUAGCUGGGAUCCAGACACAGUGGGGCAAAUCUCAACCCCUGUCCCAACCUCUUCUCCACCCCAGAUUAGGGUCUGUGGAGCAUCUUGCCCUACAUCCCAGAAGAGGGCACAGUCUGUCAUCCCCACUGGAAAAAAGUAUCUUGAGUGGCCCUUGCAGAAAUGACCAAAGUGGAAGAGGGUUUUGCCCUCUCUCCUCAAAAAGUCUCAGGCUGUCCUGAGCCAGCCCACUUCCCACCUUCCCCAGGAGAGGCCAGCCUCCCUGAACCCUAAGUCAGCCCCCAUCCUUCCCGGGAUUGCCACCAGCCCUGAGCUCCCAGAGCACCGGUGGCAAGGAAGGAGUGCCAUCCACCAGGAGCAGUCCCGUGGCCUCCCAGCAGAUUCAAGGCACCUGGAGACCUGCUGCAGCCUAAGGGGGAAUUCCCAGGGAGGCCCCAGAGUCAGGCAGAAGCCACGCAGGGGGCCCUCUUGCCCUCCCGGGAUUCUGAAUUUGUAGGAAAGGGCACGAAGGAUGUGCAGAAAGCAGGGCUCAGGAGCUCUGGAAGGUUCUCUGGGAAGGGGUGCUUAGGGUCCAAACUAGAGCCAGAACCAGGAUCAAGGCUCAGGAAGGACUUCAGUGAAGGUUCUGGAGAAAGACAAGGAGGAAGCAGAAGGUGAUUUCAGGAGGCCCUGGAAGUACCAAUCAGUAAGUUCUGCACCCAGGGACCCAGAAAAGCAGCAUCUGGAAAACAAGCCACAGGUCCAUCUGGACAGGAAGGUGGGGGAGAUCAAGGAGGGCUGGAUCCCUGUGUCUGUGCAUCGCUCCUAAUUCAUGGCCAAACAUGCCAUUCCCAAGUCUGACACCCACAGGAAAUCGAGAAAGGUGACAUCCUGGAGGGGUGGGAAAGCCCACGUGAACACCUCCCAGGAGCUGUCCUUCCUCCAUCCCUGCACCCAGCAGAUGCUGGAAGCACAUCUUUUCAAGUUCUGUGUGAGGCACAGGUGGGGUCCAGAACUUCAGUCCUUAGAGCCCAUAAAUGUCUAGUCAGGGGAGGCUCAGCCUCCACCCCUCCCACACUCCACCAUUCUCCCCUGGGCCUCCUGGGAAUCUCUGGCUGAAUCUGUAGCCAAGGUUGCCAUUUUGUCGGGAAAACCUCCCCAGAAUGGUCCAGGAGACAAUAGAACAACAAGCAAGUCAGCCCCCACCAUGAGUGGCCCUGUCCCUGCCCCACCAACUGAGCAGGAGGAAGUCCAGAGGGUCCCAAGAGGGUCCCAGUCAGCUGACACCCAUGAGCAAUCAGAGGCCUCUCUGACUGGACAGGAGGGCAGGGCAUCUUCUCAGUCCCCCAUAUGCAACCUUGUAGGCAGAACCUGGCAGAGAGGGACUGUCCUGGGGUCCGGGAAACCCAGACUCGAGGGGAGUGUGGGUUCAGAAAUGGCUGGGAAUGAGGCAUGGCUUGAGACUGAGAGCAUGUCCCCAGGAGACCCCUGUCAUAGCAGAGCCCUGCAAGAGCUCAGCAUGGGGUCCCAGUGGGCAAGGGCCAGAGAUGCCCUGGAGGCACUGGAGGCCAAGGAGGAAAAGCCCCCUGAUUGGAAAGUCACCUUGGGAGCCAGUGUGAGGGCAAGAUCAGGAAGUGUUCAGGUGGAUCUGAGGAGCACAGGGACUCUGGGGACCACUAGUAACCCCUCAGUGUCUACAAUCUGUGUUGCUCAGGAUCCAGGGCAGCUGUGCCUGAAAGCACAGGUUGUCAGUGAGAUUGCGCUCAUAGUGCAGGUGGACUCAGAGGAGCAGCUGCCAGGCCGUGUUUCCAGCAUCCUCCUCCAGGAGGGCGCCACAGGCCUGUGCCUUCCAGGCCGCCAUGUGGACAUGCUCCCAGCCACAUACAGGCCACCCACUUAGGCCCCUCUGUCCACCUCCCAGAGUGUGCUCAGUAGGAGGAACACGACAGCUUCCCAGGGGCCAUGUGCCCUCCUAUGGAAGGGAGGGGACAGACUGGGGCAGCAGGAACCUGGGAGCCCAAAAGUGAAGGCCCCACAGAAGAGUCAGAAGAUGCUGGGCUCUUUGGACAAGGGCAAGGCCCACAGGAGGCCCAGACCAGGGGAGCAGGGACACAGGUCCAAAGGACCCAGGACCUCCCAAGCCAGUGGGAGGAGCCACCCUGCCCACACGAGGGAAAUAGGAGACAAACAAGAAAGGAAAUACAAUCAGCCUCAGCCAGAGAAGGGACAGGCACCACCAGAAAGCAACUUCCAGAGAAAGAUCAGUCACCGUCCACAGGGUCUACAUCCCAGGAAGAGGGGCUCAGGGCAGGAAGACGUCCUGCAGAAAGGCAAGCCUGGGCAGAUGCUGUCCAGAGCUGGGGGUCUGGCCCAGCAAGGUUGUUUAUGGACAGCAUGGCUGAUGAAGCCCAGACCAUCAUCAGAGUUAUGGGGCAAAUCCUGGUGGACAAACUGGGGAUUCAGCAGGGACGUGGUCCCUCAGAGGUCAGUCGCCACAAAGGCGACCUCCACGCCCAGGAGAAUGUGCCUUCCUGCUGCCACAGGAGUCACUACUACCAGGAACAUAGCAGAGAGAUGGGGCUGGUCUGCAGCCCCAAAGCCACCCCCAAGGGCCACAAAUGUCCUGUCAAAAACAAGGGCAUCAGAGACAGAGACAGCAGUUGGGCCCCCACCUCCCAGGGAGCUUGUGUCCCCAGCUGGUCCCCACCACCACAGGCCAUGAGUGGCAAGCACCUCGGGCAGCCCCAUCCACAGCUGCAGGAACUGAGGUCUACACAGAGGUGUCUUGCCUCCUGA